CUUUCUUAGCGUCCCGCCAUAAACAUAAAUCUCACCGUUGUAACCAUCACGUCAAACACAUACACUACCAUCCGGUCCAUCGCAUCAAGUACUUCCAUUAUGUACCAAUUCAUCACGCAUGGAAUGACGAUGGUUGGCAUGGGAACGUUGGCGGAUCGACUGACAAAUGGUACAGUCGAUGGUACCACGGAUACAAGCUAGACAGCGGCUAUGGAUGGUGGUAACAUGAACGUGAUAUGCUGACUGGCGACUGAUCUAGCAGCAUCCCCCAUACGCCGCUUAGAAGGUGCGCCAAUACGUUGUUUUUCGGGGGUAAAUGAGUGGUGUGAGAAGCUAAGUGAACAUGGCCGAGUGAAGUGAAAAGUAGGUCAUCCAUUAGAUUGUUAAGUUUGUGUCGAACAUGUAAAAUUGCCAAGUGGAAUAAAUUCGAUCAGCUUGAUCGACCUCGUUUGAUGUCAACAACAAUAGAGAAAAUUAUUAGGCUAGAAGAUAUCGUGCCGGUCACUAGACGUAAAUUGAUUGCAGCUAUGUGAUCGUAAGGGUCAAUAUACUCAAUACAAAACAAGCUUUUAACUACCUGGGUGGAUAAAUUGCCGAUGGCACGGCAGUCUGCCGUCAACCGCACAGCGUCUGCGCAGACUAAAAGAAAAGGAGCAGUACUGCGGAGAAGAAUUAUAUUCAAAACUGUCGAAUCUUCUACACAACAUAGUUUAGUAAACAGGUUUUUGUAUUGGUUGGUGCCGGAAGUGACUAAACUUUGAAGGAAAAAUGUAAAUACGAUACUGAUAGUGUGUUUGUGUGUGCCUAGGAAAAAUCUGCAUAAAUGAUUAGAAAAAAAUGAAAAACAAUACUUGGUAAACACGUCAAUACGUAAACUCGCUGUGAAUAAAGCGUUUUUAAUUAUAUUGAAACUAUUUUCUUUUGAUAGUAAAAAGUAUAUUGGACUCUCUUUGUUAACUGGCGUGAAUCCGAUAGA